rnacentral:rRNA from 1 species
UGGGGAAUUUUGCGCAAUGGGCGAAAGCCUGACGCAGCAACGCCGCGUGCGGGAUGAAGGCCUUCGGGUUGUAAACCGCUUUCAGCAGGGAUGAAAAUGACAGUACCUGCAGAAGAAGCCCCGGCUAACUAUGUGCCAGCAGCCGCGGUAAUACGUAGGGGGCAAGCGUUAUCCGGAUUCAUUGGGCGUAAAGAGCGCGUAGGCGGCUUGUUAAGCGAGAUGUGAAAUCCGGGGGCUUAACCCGCGGCUUGCAUCUCGAACUGGCAGGCUUGAGUUUGGUAGAGGAGCGUGGAAUUCCCAGUGUAGCGGUGAAAUGCGCAGAUAUUGGGAGGAACACCAGUGGCGAAGGCGGCACUCUGGGCCAUAACUGACGCUGAGGCGCGAAAGCUAGGGGAGCGAACAG